UAAUAGUGUAUAUUAAAGUUGUUGCAGUUAAAAAGCUCGUAGUUGAAUGUUGGUGUCGAACGAGCGGUCAGCUUCGGCUGUACUGCUCUCUCGACUCCUUCCUUCUGUGGACUACGUCGCACUUUACUGUGUGGCGCUAGGACGCAGAUCGUUUACUAUGAAAAAAUUAGAGUGUUCAAAGCAGGCCGUACGCUUGAAUACAUUAGCAUGGAAUAAUGGAAUAGGACGUCGGGCCUAUUUUGUUGGUUCUAGGACCGUCGUAAUGAUUAAUAGGGACAGUUGGGGCCGUUUAUAUUCCGUAGUCAGAGGUGAAAUUCUUGGAUUUACGGAAGAUAAACUACUGCGAAAGCAUUCGGCAAGGAUGUUUUCGUUAA
rnacentral:rRNA from 1 species